AGUAAAAGUCGUAACAAGGUUUCCGUAGGKGRACCCUGCGGAAGGAUCAUUACUGAAAUAAACCUGAUGGGGUUGUUGCUGGUUCUCUAGGGAGCAUGUGCACGCCUUGUCAUCUUUAUAUCUCCACCUGUGCACCUUUUGUAGACCUUUUCUGGGUCUAUGUUGCUUCAUUUUACCUCAAUGUAUGUUAAUGGAAUGUGUUGUCCUUUAAUAAAGGAUAUAUUUAUAUAUAAUAAUACAACUUUCAGCAACGGAUCUCUUGGCUCUUGCAUCGAUGAAGAACGCAGCGAAAUGCGAUAAGUAAUGUGAAUUGCAGAAUUCAGUGAAUCAUCGAAUCUUUGAACGCACCUUGCGCUUCUUGGUAUUCCGAGGAGCAUGCCUGUUUGAGUGUCAUUAAAUAUAUCAAACCCUCUCUCUUUUGUUGAGGUUGUGUUUGGAUGUGGGGGGGUUUGUUUUGCUGGCCUUUAAAAGGUUCAGCUCCCCUGAAAUGCAUUAGUGGAACACAGCCCUGUUCAUUGGUGUGAUAAACUAUCUACGCUGCUGAAUGUGAGGGUGAGUUCAGCUUUCUAAUGGUCCUCUGGACAAAACUUAUCAUUUAAUGUGACCUCAAAUCAGGUAGGACUACCCGCUGAACUUAAGCAUAUCAAUAAGCGGAGGAAAAGAAACUAACAAGGAUU
rnacentral:rRNA from 1 species